UAUUAUCUAAACAUGUCACAUUUUGUUUUUUAACUUGGGUGCUGAGAGGAUUUCUUGAUUUGUGAAGCAAGCUUCAAGUAAACCUCUCAGCACCCAAGUUAAAAAACAAAAUGUGACAUGUUUA
rnacentral:miRNA from 1 species